rnacentral:miRNA from 2 species
AGUCUCAUGUAUUGGAAUGUUG